rnacentral:rRNA from 1 species
UACGUAGGGUGCAAGCGUUAAUCGGAAUUACUGGGCGUAAAGCGUGCGCAGGCGGUGAUGUAAGACAGAUGUGAAAUCCCCGGGCUCAACCUGGGAACUGCAUUUGUGACUGCAUCGCUGGAGUGCGGCAGAGGGGGAUGGAAUUCCGCGUGUAGCAGUGAAAUGCGUAGAUAUCUGGAGGAACACCGGUGGCGAAGGCGGCAUCCUGGACCG